rnacentral:lncRNA from 1 species
GGCCCAGUAGUUUCAGAGUUCUAGAAGAUUUUUGUAAAGGUAACAACGCCGGAUGCAAAGUGAUGGGAAAAGCUCACUAGGCCCUUUGGGCUAGGUGAGCUAAACAUUACUUUUUUCUAGUUUAUAACUGAGUGAAGGCAAUAUCAUAUAUACCCAAUAAAUCAUCAAAUUCGAAACAUAUUUCUAUGUUGAUUAAAAUGAAGCUUUUUAUUAUUUGAUGCAAAUUUUAU